rnacentral:lncRNA from 1 species
GCGGGUCGACUCAUUUUUUUUAUUCAAAACUUCGACCCGCAUGACCCGCAAAGAAAGAUUCACAUACCCUCACCCGCCCCGCCCAAGUUUGCGGGUAACCCGCAGGACCCGCGGAUAAUAUAAAUUUUAAUAAAAUAAUUAUUUUAAUUAUAGUUAAUUAUAUAAUACUUAUUUUCUAAUAAAUAAUAAAAUUAUAUAUUAUUUUCUGAAUUUAUAGUAUUUUAUAUAUUUUUUACGAAAAUAUAUAUUAUUUUUCGAAUUUUUUUUUUUUUUAUUUUUUUAUUUUUUGCGGGUUAGCGGGUACCCGCGAUUCAAAAUCGAUCGAUCCGCAUCCGCUCCGCAUAGAAUCGACUCGAUCCACACCCGUACCUGCAUGUUGAAUUUUUCGAAUUGGCCGACCCGCACCCGCCUCGCAGCAGAUCAAACGGAGCAGGACCCACAGAUAAAAACUAAAAUUUUCAGCUCUAGUAAAAUACCUUGUCAUUUAACCUAAUCAACAUGGGUUCGAAACUAGGGAUCUACUUAGUUUUGUUUUCAAAUGAAAUGACGUCAUUUCACUUAAUGUCAACAUUUAACGACAUUAAAUUUUUGCCGAAUUCCCGAAUAUUUUUGGAUAUUUUAAACUUAAUCCUCGCUUCCCACCGCUCAAGCUGAACAUUCUCUUGACGUGUCAAC